ensembl:lncRNA
UGCGAAGGAAAGCAACUGACUUAACUCAUUGGGAUUCAGGGAACGACCUGCCCUCUUUUGGAAAGAAAAAAAAAUAGAAGAAGGAGAAGGAGAAGAGUAAGUGUGCGUGUGUGUGUGUGUGUGCGUGUGCGUGCGUGUGCGUGCAUGUUCGUGUGAGAGAGAGGGAGAGGGGAGGGGGAGAUACACACAGUGCUGCUUUCCUGAGCUGCCGCUUCCCAAGCAGAAACUAUCGGGAGAAACGCAGCGUCUUGGCUCUUUCCUGCAUUUACACAAUGAAAUCACUGCUGUUUUUAUUCCUGCUAACGGGCCGCUUUUGUUUGCAUCCACUCCGAGACAUGGACGAUGGGAACAAAUAAGUGCUUAAGAUCAAAUAGACAAAAAAAAAAAAAAAAAAGAGAGAGAAAAAAAAGCCCAACCACGCUGGGAUGCUGGGAUGAGGAUUACUCACUUUAGCUCUGACUUUUUUUGAGGCAAAGCAAAUGCUGGAAUAAAAGUCAUCUAAUGAUGCAAAAGUCUGAGGAAAUCAUAAAUGCAGGAACAGGGGUGGUUAGAACUGAAUGCUCUUCACCGCUCUUACCAUCUCAGUCUACAAACAUGACUGUGUGUCCAGAUGCAGCACAUGAGCCUGCCACAUGACAACUGUUCUACAGCUCACGAGUGGGUGUGAAGGAGAAAAGAAGGAAGACUACCCAAGCCAAUCCAACUGGAAACAGCAAAAGUGCCUGGAACAUAAUAGGAAUAUAGAAGCUGACUAUUUAUUUGAAUGAAUGCGACCAGUCCUGAGUAGAAAGGAGGACUGAGAUAUUAUACAAAAUUAAAUCAAGAGAAAUAAUUCUCCAGCUUCAGAAGAUUGCACUGCAAUACGGAGAAGCACAGAAGUGAUACAAAGAGCAACGGGACUGUGAAAAUUACAUUAAAAUAUUUUGGUUUGUUGUUUGAUUUUUUGUUUGUUUGCUUGCUUUUGUUUUUAAUUUAUAAUACAUUUUCCUCAAUUGUGUAUCAUCAUCCUUUUAUGUUGAGCUUAAGACAUUCAUGCAAGCAAUUUUAUUUCCAGCAAACAUUAACAUUUGGUAGCUAAGCACAAAAAUCCCCACACUUUUAUAUCUCCACAUGCACGUUUCCACUGAAUUUGCUCAAGCACCUCGUCCAAUCAAAGAGUAAGAAGAAUUCUGUUCAACAACCAAGACCCACAAACAGGUUUCAAGUAAUAAAGAAUGACUUCAAAGAGCUGUUUUCUGAUGAACACUGAAACGUCCGCUGAGAAUGCUAGAAAAAGCUGUGUCUGUUCAUACAUAGGUUGGAUACUGGAGCACAAAAAAUUUUUCCUUAAGCCACGUGAAGAAGGAUGAAGGGAAAGCAGACAGGGAUAAACCUUGAGCACUGAAGCUGUGAUUUCAAGCCAAAGCCUGCCCUUAUAGAGCCUUAUGGGGGGGUUAUGAAAAGCUUCUAUGGAACAGGAAAACAAGUCCUUCUCUCUUCCUAUGUGCUUCAGAGAACUGAGAAAAACAGAAAGACCUGGAAUUGAGAAAGAUCAGUAAAGGAGAGCAGUAGAUUAGUCCAGGCAGGAAUAUGCAGAAACAAUUCCCAUGAAGGAUUUGC